CCAUCUCAACGCCUGGAUCUUCAACUGGAUUUACCACCAGUUCUGUACCAACAGGUAUGAAAAUAAUCAGUUAAUUAUCUAACACAUUUCUUUCCAGAUUCAAAUAGCUCUAAGGAUUGAUUCCGCAUUCUUUCGGCCUCUUUAAAUGCAAACAAAACUUAACUAUGCGAGGUUUCAUUCGACCAUAUUGAAUAUGAAAAUUUGCUGUUGAAGGCAAUACAUAUGCGUUAAUCUAUUCUUAAGAGUGGACAUUCAACUUGUUUAUUUAUUUAUGUUGGUUUUCCUUUUUCUGUUUUUAUUACAUUUUUCAUGAAUUUUAUUACCAAAUGGCUACAUUAAUUCGAGAGAAGCUCCGAAGACAAAGAUUCUGAUAAAUCCAUGGUAUCUCUACAUAAGGGAGGAAAGUAUGACCGAUCACAUCCGUGUAUAUAUACCGUAAGUAUUUAACCGAUAUACGUGUUUACACGGCAGGUGUUUCAUUGGACAAGAUUCAUCAAAACAUAAUCAGAAACAUCAAUAUUUGAAAAACUACUGCUUUCCACCCUUUUGCUAUAUAGUUUUGACUCCUUAAGAAGAAACCAUUCCGUGGGAUUAGGAAGCGACAAAUGAAACGAAAGACAUACAAGUAAGUAGAACUGGCCUAUACACGACAGCAACAAAAUUGUCAAUAACACCAAUAUUUUGUGCUCGUGAAUGUUGCAUUUUAUCUUGUUUGAGGGAAACAUUAAUCAGACUGAGGAUGUGUUGCUUCCAUCACUACCAAACGUUACAACAGCGAUAAUACAUGUAAGUAUCAUGUAAGUAUAUUAUCACUAUAUGGUUCUUGCGAUGUUAUUAAUAUACAUUUAUGGAAAUACUAUUUCAGUCGACUUUAAUCUAUCUGUAGGCAGUAUAAUGUGGUAUACACAGACCUAAACAGAUAAAGAUUUGUUCACAGACGGUAAGCAUAUUAUAUUCUUUUUAAAUAUUGGGUGCGAUCGUUGAGCUUCAAUCGGAGCCGCAUCAACAAACGCAGUCUGUAAUUGAUACAAAUUUCAUUAAUGUCUUUCUUUGAAAGCAGUUACGUAAUUUACGAUAAAGUAAUGAUGUAAAAUAUGGAUAUUGAUUUGAUGUACAAUAUUGUUUACAAGCGUGGUUUGAUUAAUUUGAAAUUAAAGUUUGUGGUAAUAUACUUUUUUAACAACGCCAUAUUUAUAUCAAAUGCACCUGUUGCUUGUUUUGGUGGCACUUCAGCAAAGCAAGUCACAAGUUGUUUUCCAGCCUUGUCCAUCAAUUAAAGAUGUCAUAAAACAAGAUGCCAAUUUCACAACGGAAAACAAAAGAAAAUGUUGCAAAAAUAGAGGUGGCUCCUAAAUUCGACAGAAGAUAUCGAUCUCGAGGUCAGAGAUGCGUGACAUAGCACAUUUCAUACACAAGGUUGAAUCCUUUACCAACCGGGUACAAAUUGGCCAGUAGAACCUGUAUAUAUAGACCAGUACAGACGUCUGACCGGAAGGACGCAUACAGGUCGACCAGAUAUACUGGUACAGGCGACUGACCGGAAGGACGCGUACAGGUCGAUCAGAUGAACCAGUACAGACGACUGUCCGGAGGUACGCGCACAGGUCGACUAGAGGAACUGGUACAGACGACUGUCCGGAGGGCCGCGGACAGAUAGACCAGAUGAACUAGGACAGUCGAACUGUUUAAAGUUCUGUGUCUUUUGUCUUUCCUAAAAAUCUAGUCGUUAUUUCUUCUUGUGAUGAUGUGUGCGUUGCAAGAUGGACA